GUGGGGAAUUUUGGACAAUGGGCGCAAGCCUGAUCCAGCAAUGCCGCGUGCAGGAAGAAGGCCUUCGGGUUGUAAACUGCUUUUGUACGGAACGAAACGGUCCUGGUUAAUACCUGGGGCUAAUGACGGUACCGUAAGAAUAAGCACCGGCUAACUACGUGCCAGCAGCCGCGGUAAUACGUAGGGUGCAAGCGUUAAUCGGAAUUACUGGGCGUAAAGCGUGCGCAGGCGGUUUUGUAAGACAGGCGUGAAAGCCCCGGGCUCAACCUGGGAAUGGCGCUUGUGACUGCAAAGCUGGAGUGCGGCAGAGGGGGAUGGAAUUCCGCGUGUAGCAGUGAAAUGCGUAGAUAUGCGGAGGAACACCGAUGGCGAAGGCAAUCCCCUGGGCCGGCACUGACGCUCAUGCACGAAAGCGUGGGGAGCAAACAGGAUUAGAUACCCGGGUAGUCC
rnacentral:rRNA from 1 species